CGAUGGAACACAAAUCCGUGAUUUGUAACCUUAAUUUUCGGCAUUCGUCGUCGUUGACGUUGUCGCAGAACAAGGGAGUUAUAUCGCGUUCUAGUUGAAGACAUAAUCUACAUAUCAUUUGCAUAUUGUCUCGUUCAAAAAUUUUCAGCUAAUACAAAAGAACACGCCGAUACCUAAAAAUAUCGACAAAUCCGUACAAAUCAGUACAGAUCAAAUGUGAUGUGAUCUUAAAAUUCUGAUAGUAUACCUGUUUCCAUGGGUGUUUCUACUGGAAGAUCUGACAAUUUUAAAAUGUGUGUUAGUAUGAUCCUAUUAUAUGCAUGAUUUAUUUCAUGCACAGUAUCUUCUAAAAUUUCCGUAAAAGAUUUUUCAUCAUUUAUUAUUGAUUUAUCAGCCAUUAAAGAUAGAUGUAAGUUAUCUCCAUAACUUAAUAGAGAAAAGCCAAGAGCAGUUGUACUCCUGAAAAUUAAUUAUAAAUCAUAUAUUCGUAUAUCGUUAUAAUAUACUAAUUUUGCUUAUUUUUA